GAUGAACGCUGGCGGCGUGCCUAAUACAUGCAAGUCGAGCGAACGGACGAGAAGCUUGCUUCUCUGAUGUUAGCGGCGGACGGGUGAGUAACACGUGGAUAACCUACCUAUAAGACUGGGAUAACUUCGGGAAACCGGAGCUAAUACCGGAUAAUAUUUUGAACCGCAUGGUUCAAAAGUGAAAGACGGUCUUGCUGUCACUUAUAGAUGGAUCCGCGCUGCAUUAGCUAGUUGGUAAGGUAACGGCUUACCAAGGCAACGAUGCAUAGCCGACCUGAGAGGGGGAUCGGCCACACGAGAACUGAGACACGGUCCAGACUCCUACGGGAGGCAGCAGUAGGGAAUCGUACGCAAUGGGCGAAAGCCUGACGGAGCAACGCCGCGUGAGUGAUGAAGGUCUUCGGAUCGUAAAACUCUGUUAUGAGGGAAGAACAGAUGUGUAAGUAACUGUGCACAUCGUGACGGUACCUAAUCAGAAAGCCACGGCUAACUACGUG
rnacentral:rRNA from 1 species